rnacentral:rRNA from 1 species
GAUGAACGCUGGCGGCGUGCCUAAUACAUGCAAGUCGAGCGAACAGACGAGGAGCUUGCUCCUCUGACGUUAGCGGCGGACGGGUGAGUAACACGUGGAUAACCUACCUAUAAGACUGGGAUAAUUUCGGGAAACCGGAGCUAAUACCGGAUAAUAUAUUGAACCGCAUGGUUCCAUAGUGAAAUACGGAUUUACUGUCACUUAUAGAUGGAUCCGCGCCGCAUUAGCUAGUUCGUAAGGUAACCGCUUACCAAAGCAACGUUGCAUAGCUGACUCGAGAGAGUGAUCAGCCACACUAGAACAUGAGCACGCUCCAUACCCCUACGAGAGGCAGCAGUAGGGAAUCUUCCGCAAUGAGCGAAAGCCUGACGAAGACCCGCCACGUGGGUUAUGAAGGUUUUCGGAUCGUAAAACUCUGUUAUUAGGGAAGAACAAAUGUGUAAGUAACUAUGCACGUCUUGACGGUACCUAAUCAGAAAGCCACGGCUAACUACGUG